CUACGGAGGGUGCAAGCGUUGUUCGGAAUUACUGGGCGUAAAGCGCGCGUAGGCGGUCUGUUAUGUCAGAUGUGAAAGUCCUCGGCUCAACCGGGGAAGUGCAUUUGAAACUGGCAGACUUGAGUACUGGAGGGGGUGGUGGAAUUCCCGGUGUAGAGGUGAAACUCGUAGAUAUCGGGAGGAAUACCGGUGGCGAAGGCGACCACCUGGCCAGAUACUGACGCUGAGGUGCGAAAGCGUGGGGAGCAAACAGGAUUAGAUACCCCAGUAGUCC
rnacentral:rRNA from 1 species